rnacentral:piRNA from 1 species
UCAUGAGAGAGACUCUUAGGAACAUGGU